GUGAGUCAUCGAAUCUUUGAACGCACAUUGCGCCCGCCAGCAUUCUGGCGGGCAUGCCUGUUCGAGCGUCAUUUCAACCCUCGACCUCCCCUUGGGGAGGUCGGCGUUGGGGACCGGCAGCACACCGCCGGCCCUGAAAUGGAGUGGCGGCCCGUCCGCGGCGACCUCUGCGUAGUAAUACAGCUCGCACCGGAACCCCGACGCGGCCACGCCGUAAAACACCCAACUUCUGAACGUUGACCUCGAAUCAGGUAGGACUACCCGCUGAACUUAAGCAUAUCAAUAAGCGGAGGA
rnacentral:misc_RNA from 1 species